rnacentral:tRNA from 1 species
UUGAAUGAAACUAAAAAAUAGUAUUUCACUGUUGAUGAAAUCUAAGGUAUAAAAACCCUUUCAAG